UACGAAGGGGGCUAGCGUUGUUCGGAAUUACUGGGCGUAAAGCGCACGUAGGCGGAUCCUUAAGUCAGGGGUGAAAUCCCGAGGCUCAACCUCGGAACUGCCUUUGAUACUGGGGAUAUCGAGUCCGGGAGAGGUGAGUGGAACUGCGAGUGUAGAGGUGAAAUUCGUAGAUAUUCGCAAGAACACCAGUGGCGAAGGCGGCUCACUGGUCCGGUACUGACGCUGAGGUGCGAAAGCGUGGGGAGCAAACAGG
rnacentral:rRNA from 1 species